rnacentral:rRNA from 1 species
UACGAAGGGGGCUAGCGUUGUUCGGAAUUACUGGGCGUAAAGCGCGCGCAGGCGGUUCUUCAAGUCAGUGGUGAAAGCCCGGAGCUCAACUCCGGAACUGCCAUUGAAACUGUGGAACUUGAGGAUGAGAGAGGUGAGUGGAAUUCCCAGUGUAGAGGUGAAAUUCGUAGAUAUUGGGAAGAACACCAGUGGCGAAGGCGGCUCACUGGCCCGAUACUGACGCUGAGGCACGAAAGCGUGGGGAGCAACAGGG